rnacentral:rRNA from 1 species
UACAGAGGCCUCGAGCGUUAGGCGGAAUCACUGGGCGUAAAGGGCGCGUAGGUGGUGGCUUAAGCGUGCGGUGAAAGCUCGGGGCUCAACUCCGAGUCGGCCGUGCGAACUGGGCUCACUGGAGCAUAGUAGAGGCAGGUGGAAUUCCGGGUGUAGCGGUGGAAUGCGUAGAGAUCCGGAAGAACACCGGUGGCGAAGGCGGCCUGCUGGGCUAUGGCUGACACUGAGGCGCGACAGCGUGGGGAGCAAACAGG